AGAGUUUGAUCCUGGCUCAGGAUGAACGCUAGCGGCAGGCCUAAUACAUGCAAGUCGAGGGGCAGCACGGAUAGCAAUAUCUGGUGGCGACCGGCGCACGGGUGCGUAACACGUAUGCAACCUACCUUCAACAGGGAGAUAGCCCGGGGAAACUCGGAUUAAUAUUCCAUAACACAGGGGACCCACAUGGGUAUAUUGUUAAAGCUCAGGCGGUUGAAGAUGGGCAUGCGUCCGAUUAGCUAGUUGGCGGGGUAACGGCCCACCAAGGCUACGAUCGGUAGGGGGUCUGAGAGGAUGAUCCCCCACACUGGUACUGAGAUACGGACCAGACUCCUACGGGAGGCAGCAGUAGGGAAUAUUGGUCAAUGGAGGCAACUCUGAACCAGCCAUGCCGCGUGCAGGAUGAAGGCGUUCUGCGUUGUAAACUGCUUUUGAUCGGGAACAAAUGACUCUUGCGUGAGUAGCUGAGUGUACCGAUAGAAUAAGCCACGGCUAACUACGUGCCAGCAGCCGCGGUGAUACGUAGGUGGCAAGCGUUGUCCGGAUUUAUUGGGUUUAAAGGGUUCGUAGGCGGCAAAAUAAGUCAGCGGUGAAAGCCGAUCGCUUAACGAUCGAACUGCCAUUGAUACUGCUUUGCUUGAGUACAGUUGAGGUAGGCGGAAUUGACAGUGUAGCGGUGAAAUGCAUAGAUAUUGUCAAGAACACCAAUUGCGUAGGCAGCUUACUAAAGUGUUACUGACGCUGAGGCACGAAAGUGCGGGGAUCAAACAGGAUUAGAUACCCUGGUAGUCC
rnacentral:rRNA from 1 species